rnacentral:rRNA from 1 species
AAAGGAGGAAACUCUGAUGCAGCAACGCCGCGUGGAGGACGAAGGUGUUCGGAUUGUAAACUCCUGUCUUUUGGGACGAUAAUGACGGUACCAAAAGAGGAAGCCACGGCUAACUACGUGCCAGCAGCCGCGGUAAUACGUAGGUGGCGAGCGUUGUCCGGAUUUACUGGGCGUAAAGGGAGCGUAGGCGGAUUUUUAAGUGAGAUGUGAAAUACCCGGGCUCAACUUGGGUGCAGCAUUUCAAACUGGAAGUCUAGAGUGCAGGAGAGGAGAGUGGAAUUCCUAGUGUAGCGGUGAAAUGCGUAGAGAUUAGGAAGAACACCAGUGGCGAAGGCGACUCUCUGGACUGUAACUGACGCUGAGGCUCGAAAGCGUGGGGAGCAAA